AAACUAUAAAAUUUUGUUUUGAAAACAAUAUUAAAGAUGUAUCUUGUAGUUU
rnacentral:tRNA from 1 species